UACGUAGGGUGCAAGCGUUAAUCGGAAUUACUGGGCGUAAAGCGUGCGCAGGCGGUUUGUUAAGUCCGCUGUGAAAUCCCCGAGCUCAACUUGGGGAUUGCAGUGGAUACUGGCAAGCUGGAGUAUGGUAGAGGAAGGUGGAAUUCCCGGUGUAGCAGUGAAAUGCGUAGAGAUCGGGAGGAACACCAGUGGCGAAGGCGGCCUUCUGGACCAAUACUGACGCUCAUGCACGAAAGCGUGGGGAGCAAACAGG
rnacentral:rRNA from 1 species